UGCAAAGAACUUUGAAGAGAGAGUUCAAGAGUACGUGAAACUGCUCAGAGGUAAACGGGUGGGCCCUCGAAAUACUGUGGUGGGAGGAUUCAGUCUGGAGCCGCGGGCGUGUGGGUCGAAAAACCGAGUAGGACCUCUCCGAACGGAGGUCGUUCGGCUACACGCAUCCCGUGGUACCCGACGCAUUUGUCUCCCGCCCGAAGGACGCCGCAGCCGGUUGGGUAGUGCAAGCGCGACGGCUAUGAGGGCGAGCGAUGGCAGGUGGCCGGUGGCGGAGCUCGUCUCCUUCGCCGGUUGUUAGCCGGCUCGUCAGUGGCCCGUCACCCGACCGAGGUGUCACGAGGCCCUUCGGGGCUCUCACGCCUCCUCCUUGAGACGCGAGACUGGACGUCGCAGGCGAAUUUCGCCGCGCGGUCGCACUCUCGACGAGUGGACCCGCGAACGAAGAGCACCGUUGGUGACGUCGGACUCGUUGGAGGCCGGAGGCUAGCGGCGAGUAGGUCGGUCACCCACCCGACCAGUCUGC
rnacentral:rRNA from 1 species